CACGUAGGGCGCAAGCGUUGUCCGGAAUUAUUGGGCGUAAAGAGCUCGUAGGCGGUCUGUUGCGUCCGCUGUGAAAACUCGGGGCUUAACCCCGAGCCUGCAGUGGAUACGGGCAGACUAGAGGUAGGUAGGGGAGAAUGGAAUUCCCGGUGUAGCGGUGAAAUGCGUAGAUAUCUGGAGGAAUACCGGUGGCGAAGGCGGCAUCCUGGACCGACAUUGACGCUGAUGAGCGAAAGCUAGGGGAGCAAACGGG
rnacentral:rRNA from 1 species